CUCUGUGACUCCUACGGGAGGCAGCAGUGGGGAAUAUUGCACAAUGGGGGAAACCCUGAUGCAGCCAUGCCGCGUGUGUGAAGAAGGCCUUCGGGUUGUAAAGCACUUUCAGUAGGGAGGAAGGUAGUGUAGUUAACACCUGCAUUAUUUGACGUUACCUACAGAAGAAGCACCGGCUAACUCCGUGCCAGCAGCCGCGGUAAUACGGAGGGUGCGAGCGUUAAUCGGAAUUACUGGGCGUAAAGCGCAUGCAGGCGGCCUGUUAAGUCAGAUGUGAAAGCCCCGGGGCUUAACCCUCGGAAUUGCAUUUGAAACUGGCAGGCUAGAGUCUUGUAGAGGGGGUAGAAUUUCAGGUGUAGCGGUGAAAUGCGUAGAGAUCUGAAGGAAUACCAGUGGCGAAGGCGGCCCCCUGGACAAAGACUGACGCUCAGAUGCGAAAGCGUGGGGAGCAAACAGGAUUAGAUACCCCUGGUAG
rnacentral:rRNA from 1 species